GACGAACGCUGGCGGCGUGCCUAAUGCAUGCAAGUUGAGCGCUGAAGGUUGGUACUUGUACCAACUGGAUGAGCAGCGAACGGGUGAGUAACGCGUGGGGAAUCUGCCUUUGAGCGGGGGACAACAUUUGGAAACGAAUGCUAAUACCGCAUAAAAACUUUAAACACAAGUUUUAAGUUUGAAAGAUGCAAUUGCAUCACUCAAAGAUGAUCCCGCGUUGUAUUAGCUAGUUGGUGAGGUAAAGGCUCACCAAGGCGAUGAUACAUAGCCGACCUGAGAGGGUGAUCGGCCACAUUGGGACUGAGACACGGCCCAAACUCCUACGGGAGGCAGCAGUAGGGAAUCUUCGGCAAUGGACGAAAGUCUGACCGAGCAACGCCGCGUGAGUGAAGAAGGUUUUCGGAUCGUAAAACUCUGUUGGUAGGGAAGAACGUUGGUGAGAGUGGAAAGCUCAUCAAGUGACGGUAACUACCCAGAAAGGGACGGCUAACUACGUG
rnacentral:rRNA from 1 species